UUUCAGGUUAGAUCUGCUAAGCCAGGUCAUGAUAAGUUGGUUGCCAGGCUGGGACAAGAUUCCCUCUUCUCUAAAGAGAUUAAAUUGAAGUACAUCAGUUCUUGAAGCCUCAUUUUCCCAUAAGAUACUAUGAAUCUAUUUAUGAACUCCACAUGUCUCAAACCGAAAGAAUGAGUAAAAACAAAUAGUAGACUGUUGAUGAAGCAAUACAAGAUUGAGGCAUCUUCAACUCUGCAUCAGGUAACAUUAACCCAACUUUGGAGGUUAGGAGUGUUAAAAGAAUUAAGAAACGUUAUAGGAAAAUUAAUCACCUAGAAACAACAAUUGCCACACCUUGGGGAUCAGCCUUUGAGUCAGACUAAAUCGUCAUUCUGGUGCCAGCUUGUUGCCACUGCGACCAUAAACAGGCCAUUCAACACUGCACCAGGAAGUUGCAGAGCUGGCUAAACCAUCAUCCUGGCUUUCAUAAGAGAAGAAAAGAGAAAUUUGCGGAUGAUGGCCAGCAGAGUCUCUCAGGUGUAGAACAUGAGAAGGACGCCUAUGGGAAUUCGGAGAAAGGUGGAGGAGUGUCUUUGAGCAAUAUCUCCUCAAAUCAACACAGUGAUUCAAUUCAAUAA
rnacentral:lncRNA from 1 species